AGGAAGUUAUGCAAGUUUUGGCAGCUUAAGUUGAAAUUCAGCAACAUCUGCUUUACUUUGCCAAAAAUGACAUUUGAAAGCUUUUCCAAUUUUUCCUUGAGCUGGACUACAUAUGAUUGGAAAGAAAAGACAAAGAGCUUCAAGACCCAUAUUUUUUCAGAAUUUUAUCAAUGAAGGAACAAGCCCAAAAUGAGCCUACAAGAAAAUUGCAGUACAUUGUCAUGCAUGCCAUAUGCAUGAGCUAAUUAUUUUUGACGGGGAGGUAAAGUUGGUGAAGUAG
rnacentral:lncRNA from 1 species